UAGCUGCGAUAAUCAGUGUGAAUUGCAGAACACGACGAGCACUUGAUCAUUGAACGCACAUUGCAGCCUUGGGUCUUUCCGGGGCUUUGUCUGACUGAGGGUCGGAAAAAUAAAACACAUUGUACAGGUUUGUUCGGAGGGGCAUUGAUUCAAUGGAACUCCGUCAAACUUUGGAUAACACGUGCUAAGUUGAACGCAGUAUUCCAUUCAAAGUAGAGUGACUCGGACGUUCAACAGCGAAAGCAUUACAUGCUAACGCUGUGUCUUGGGGAUGAUUCUCUACAAGGAGCUGCCUCAUCGGCAUUGUGUUCGACAAUACAUUCGGCUCAGGCCGAACCCAACCAAUUGUCGACCUCAGUUCAGGCAAGAUUACCCGCUGAAUUUAA
rnacentral:misc_RNA from 1 species